UAUUUAUUAGUUUAAAAAAAACAUUACAUUUUCAUUGUAAAAUUAAAAUAUUUUUUUUAUAAAUUA
rnacentral:tRNA from 1 species